rnacentral:rRNA from 1 species
CUUUUUGUAGAACGGGCCAACGAGUUACGUUAAGUAGCAAGGUUAAGCACUUAAGGUGUGGAGCCGUAGCGAAAGCGAGUUUUAACUGAGCGUUCAGUUACUUGACGUAGACCCGAAACCGGGCGACCUACCCAUGAGCAGGAUGAAGCGAAAGUAAAAUUUCGUGGAGGUCCGAACCCACGAGCGUUGAAAAGCUCGGGGAUGACUUGUGGGUAGCGGUGAAAUUCCAAUCGAGCCCGGAGAUAGCUGGUUCUCCCCGAAAUAGCUUUAGGGCUAGCCUCAAGGUGAGAGAUACGGAGGUAGAGCACUGAAUGUCCUAGGGGGUAUUGCACCUACCGAAGACUAUCAAACUCCGAAUGCCGUCAUCUUAUACUUGGGAGUCAGACUGUGGGUGAUAAGAUUCAUAGUCGAAAGGGCAACAGCCCAGAUCGUCAGCUAAGGUCCCUAAAUGUAAGUUAAGUGGUAAAGGAUGUGGGAUUGCACAGACAACCAGGAUGUUGGCUUAGAAGCAGCCACUCAUUCAAAGAGUGCGUAAUAGCUCACUGGUCGAGUGAUCCUGCGCCGAAGAUUUCCGGGGCUAAAACUUACUACCGAAGCUACGGCAUCAGUAAUGAUGGGUAGGGGAGCUUCCCAUACGGGUUGAAGCAUGACCGUAAGGACAUGUGGACAGUAUGGGAGUGAGAAUGUUGGCAUGAGUAGCGAGAUGUGGGUGAGAAUCCCACAGGCCGUAAACCCAAGGUUUCCAGGGGAAGGUUCGUCCGCCCUGGGUUAGUCGGGACCUAAGCUGAGGCCGAAAGGCGUAGGUGAUGGACAACAGGUUGAUAUUCCUGUACUACCGAUAACCGUUUGAGAGAAGGGAUGACACAGUAGGAUAAGCUAAGCACACUGUUGGUUAUGUGUGCCCAAGCAUUGAGGCAGUCAAAGUAGGCAAAUCCGCUUUGAUAAUGCUGGGAUGUGAUGGGGAGCGAAAUUUAGUAGCGAAGUAGCUGAUUUCACACUGUCAAGAAAAGUCUCUAUCGAGGUUAAAGGUACCCGUACCGCAAACCGACACAGGUGGGUGAGGAGAGUAUCCUAAGGCCAGCGAGAGAACUGUUGUUAAGGAACUCGGCAAAAUGACCCCGUAACUUAGGGAUAAGGGGUGCCACCAUCAGGUGGCCGCAGAGAAUAGGCCCAAGCGACUGUUUACCAAAAACAUAGGUUUCUGCUAAGUCGCAAGACGAUGUAUAGGAGCUGACGCCUGCCCGGUGCUGGAAGGUUAAGGGGAUCUGUUAGAGCAAUCGAAGCAGUGAACUUAAGCCCCAGUAAACGGCGGCCGUAACUAUAACGGUCCUAAGGUAGCGAAAUUCCUUGUCGGGUAAGUUCCGACCCGCACGAAAGGCGUAACGAUUUGGGCACUGUCUCAACAACAGACUCGGUGAAAUUGUAAUUCCGGUGAAGAUGCCGGAUACCUGCGACAGGACGGAAAGACCCCAUGGAGCUUUACUGUAGCUUGACAUUGGGUCUUGGUACUACAUGUACAGGAUAGGUGGGAGGCUUUGAAACCAGGACGCCAGUUUUGGCGGAGCCAUCCUUGGGAUACCACCCUUGUAGUACUGGGACUCUAACCAUAGGCCAUGAAUCUGGUCUUGGGACACUGUCAGGUGGGCAGUUUGACUGGGGCGGUCGCCUCCCAAAAGGUAACGGAGGCGCUCAAAGGUUCUCUCAGUACGGUCGGAAAUCGUACGUAGAGUGUAAAGGCAAAAGAGAGCUUGAUUGCAAGACAUACAGGUCGAGCAAGGAUGAAAAUCGGACUUAGUGAUCCGGUGGUUCUGCGUGGAAGGGCCAUCGCUCAACGGAUAAAAGCUACCCUGGGGAUAACAGGCUUAUCUCCCCCAAGAGUCCACAUCGACGGGGAGGUUUGGCACCUCGAUGUCGGCUCAUCACAUCCUGGGGCUGUAGUAGGUCCCAAGGGUUGGGCUGUUCGCCCAUUAAAGUGGUACGCGAGCUGGGUUCAGAACGUCGUGAGACAGUUCGGUCCCUAUCCGUCGCAGGCGUAGGAAAUUUGAGAAGACCUGUCCUUAGUACGAGAGGACCGGGAUGGACGUACCUCUGGUGUACCAGUUGUUCUGCCAAGGGCAUGGCUGGGUAGCUAUGUACGGAAUGGAUAAGCGCUGAAAGCAUCUAAGCGCGAAGCCAACUUCAAGAUAAGAUUUCCCA